CGCCUAAUUUCCUUCUAAGGAACCGGGGGAACCAACUAUGGGGUGAAUUCUGAACAGACUUAGUGUCUAUUCAGGACGGGCUUUUUCUGAUCAGCCCGAACCCGACAGCUAACCUCGGCGGCG
rnacentral:sRNA from 1 species